AUUUAUAUAGUUUAAGAAAAACCUUACAUUUUCAUUGUAAAAUUAUAUAUUUUUUAUUAUAAAUA
rnacentral:tRNA from 1 species